AACGCACAUUGCGCCCUUUGGUAUUCCGAAGGGCAUGCCUGUUCGAGCGUCAUUAUCACCCCUCAAGCCCUCGGCUUGGUGUUGGACGGUUUGGUGGAGGCCCCCUUUGCGGGCUUCUACCCCUCCCAAAGACAAUGACGGCGGCCUCGUUGGACCCCCGGUACACUGAGUUCUUCACGGGACACGUAUCGGACUACGGGUUUACGGGACACGGUCUGCCUCCCCUCAGGGAGAAUCUUUUUUAUCAAGGUUGACCUCGGAUCAGGUAGGGAUACCCGCUGAACUUAA
rnacentral:misc_RNA from 1 species